rnacentral:rRNA from 1 species
GAACGUGCCCUUCCCCAUGGAAUAGCCACUGGAAACGGUGAGUAAUACCAUAUACGCCCUUCGGGGGAAAGAUUUAUCGGAGAAGGAUCGGCCCGCGUUAGAUUAGGUAGUUGGUGGGGUAAUGGCCUACCAAGCCUACGAUCUAUAGCUGGUUUUAGAGGAUGAUCAGCCACACUGGGACUGAGACACGGCCCAGACUCCUACGGGAGGCAGCAGUGGGGAAACUUAGACAAUGGGCGCAAGCCUGAUCUAGCCAUGCCGCGUGAGUGAUGAAGGCCUUAGGGUCGUAAGGCUCUUUCGCCAGAGAUGAUAAUGACAGUAUCUGGUAAAGAAACCCCGGCUAACUCCGUGCCAGCAGCCGCGGUAAUACGGAGGGGGUUAGCGUUGUUCGGAAUUACUGGGCGUAAAGCGCACGUAGGCGGAUUAGAAAGUUGGGGGUGAAAUCCCGGGGCUCAACCUCGGAACGGCCUCCAAAACUCCUAGUCUAGAGUUCGAGAGAGGUGAGUGGAAUUCCAAGUGUAGAGGUGAAAUUCGUAGAUAUUUGGAGGAACACCAGUGGCGAAGGCGGCUCACUGGCUCGAUACUGACGCUGAGGUGCGAAAGUGUGGGGAGCAAACAGGAUUAGAUACCCUGGUAG